rnacentral:lncRNA from 1 species
CUACUAUCUGAAGCCUGAGAUGGCAUAAGUAGACACGUACCAUUUUCUGCCCUGUCCAAACCCAUGUCUCAGACUCUUAGGACUUUUUCCAGUCUGCAGUAUUGGCUUUUUCAGGUUGGGAAGAAGAGCUUUCUGUGUGCUUUUAGCUCAUGCUAGACUCUCGUCACUACCAUCACAAGUUGGAUUUUAAAAUUAUAGCUGCAAUUGUAGUUGUACUCUGCAAAUACUUAUGAAGGAGCUCUUUGAGAUUUCCCGGUAGAGAUUUCUUGUCACGAACUACAUAAUGAUAAUUGGCACUUUAAACUCCAACAAACCAGAUUCGGUUUUGCAUUUUACAUAUGCCCAUUAUGGACUGGUAGUAGAAUUUUCAAAUAAAGGAUAAGAAUGAUAUUUGUGACUAUCAAUGUAAUCAUAAGCCAUUAUUAGCAGAAGGAAUCUGAAGCAUUUUUGUCUUAAUAAUUUGAAGCUUAACACUGAAACAUUUGGGGAUAUCUUCAAUUUUACCUUUAUAGCUAUUGUAUCUUUGUAAAUACUUUCUGUUGCUACUAAAAGGGUUAAAUCUUUGGGUCUAUAAAGAAUUAAGGGUUUAGAAUUCUUUUGGAGAGAUGUGUUUAUCUGAAUGUUGGACUCUGAACCACUAGGCAAUAUUAUUUAUUGUUUAGCAGCUUA